UACGUAGGGGGCAAGCGUUGUCCGGAUUUAUUGGGCGUAAAGAGCGUGUAGGCGGCCACACAGGUCAGCUGUGAAAACUCGAGGCUCAACCUCGAGACGUCGGUUGAAACCGUAUGGCUAGAGUCCGGAAGAGGAGAGUGGAAUUCCCGGUGUAGCGGUGAAAUGCGCAGAUAUCGGGAAGAACACCCGUGGCGAAGGCGGUUCUCUGGGCCUUACCUGACGCUGAGGAGCGAAAGCGUGGGGAGCGAACAGG
rnacentral:rRNA from 1 species